rnacentral:tRNA from 1 species
UCCCUGGUGGCUUAGACGGUAAAGUGUCUGCCUACAAUGCAGAAGACCUGGGUUCAAACCUUGGUUGGGAA